rnacentral:snoRNA from 2 species
AUCCCAAAUAAGCUGAAUGUAAAGGUGCUUAUUUGAUUCAUGGGAGGCCAAAAGCAAAAUGUGGGGGUUUCGCUGAUGACGCCUUUUACUUCUUUUCUUUACUUGGAAGGCGUUUAUUAGUAACUUCGCCAUACAUUG